ACCUGGCUGGCUCAGCCAGUAGAGCAUGCAACUCUUGAUCUUUGAGAUUGUGAGUUCAAAUCCCACGCUGGGUG
rnacentral:tRNA from 1 species